AUUGAACGCUGGCGGCAUGCCUUACACAUGCAAGUCGAACGGUAACGGGCCUUCGGGUGCCGACGAGUGGCGAACGGGUGAGUAAUACAUCGGAACGUGCCCGAUCGUGGGGGAUAACGAGGCGAAAGCUUUGCUAAUACCGCAUACGAUCUACGGAUGAAAGCAGGGGACCGCAAGGCCUUGCGCGGACGGAGCGGCCGAUGGCAGAUUAGGUAGUUGGUGGGAUAAAAGCUUACCAAGCCGACGAUCUGUAGCUGGUCUGAGAGGAUGAUCAGCCACACUGGGACUGAGACACGGCCCAGACCCCUACGGGAGGCAGCAGUGGGGAAUUUUGGACAAUGGGCGCAAGCCUGAUCCAGCCAUGCCGCGUGCAGGAUGAAGGCCUUCGGGUUGUAAACUGCUUUUGUACGGAACGAAAAGCCUUCUUUUAAUACAGGAGGGUCAUGACGGUACCGGAAGAAUAAGCACCGGCUAACUACGUG
rnacentral:rRNA from 1 species